CCGAGUUGUCGAAGCAAGGCUGCUGCUGGCUCCUUCCAGGGAGCAUGUGCACGCUUGUUCACAUCCCAUCCUUCACACUUGUGCACCAUCUGUAGUUCCGAGCCGAUUAUCAGAGGUGCUCGCUCACCUCAAAAGCUCGGUUCUAUGUUAUUUCAACGACGCUUCAGUUUGAUAGAAUGUGUUCACAGGCGCGUACGACGUCUGAUAAUAAUAUAUA
rnacentral:misc_RNA from 1 species